GAUGAACGCUGGUGGCGUGCCUAAUACAUGCAAGUAGAACGCUGAAGGAGGAGCUUGCUCUUCUGGAUGAGUUGCGAACGGGUGAGUAACGCGUAGGUAACCUGCCUGGUAGCGGGGGAUAACUAUUGGAAACGAUAGCUAAUACCGCAUGACAACAGUUAUUGCAUGAUAACUGUUUAAAAGGGGCAACUGCUCCACUACCAGAUGGACCUGCGUUGUAUUAGCUAGUUGGUGAGGUAACGGCUCACCAAGGCGACGAUACAUAGCCGACCUGAGAGGGUGAUCGGCCACACUGGGACUGAGACACGGCCCAGACUCCUACGGGAGGCAGCAGUAGGGAAUCUUCGGCAAUGGACGGAAGUCUGACCGAGCAACGCCGCGUGAGUGAAGAAGGUUUUCGGAUCGUAAAGCUCUGUUGUAAGAGAAGAACGAGUGUGAGAGUGGAAAGUUCACACUGUGACGGUAUCUUACCAGAAAGGGACGGCUAACUACGUG
rnacentral:rRNA from 1 species